UAGGGAAUAUUGGACAAUGGGCGAGAGCCUGAUCCAGCCAUGCCGCGUGCAGGAAGAAGGCCUUCUGGGUUGUAAACUGCUUUUGCCGGGGGAUAAAAUACCCAUGCGUGGGGAAUUGAAGGUACCCGGUGAAUAAGCCACGGCUAACUACGUGCCAGCAGCCGCGGUAAUACGUAGGUGGCGAGCGUUGUCCGGAUUUAUUGGGUUUAAAGGGUGCGUAGGCGGCCCCGUUAGUCAGCGGUGAAAUACGGCAGCUUAACUGUCGAGGUGCCGUUGAUACUGCGGGGCUUGAGUGCGGUCGAGGAGGGCGGAAUUGACGGUGUAGCGGUGAAAUGCUUAGAUAUCGUCAAGAACACCGAUAGCGAAGGCAGCCCUCCAGGCCGCAACUGACGCUGAGGCA
rnacentral:rRNA from 1 species